AUGUGCACUCCAUCCAUUAUCUAGUUAAAUCCUCAACAAUUAGCCUAAGUAAUAGUAUUAUCUCAAUUAUCUUGCCUCCUUGUGUUUUAAAACUGAAAUGCUCGUUUACUUAACCUUUUCCUAUAUGGGGAUUAAUCAGGAAAUUCAAAAAGGCUUUUUAAAUAUGUUUCUCUAGUUUGAGCUCCCUAUUCUCAUGGAUAGGUAAAACAAUGUAUUUGCUCCCACCUGGAAUCUUUGCUUUUGGCUCUAGUGCCAAGACAGGAAGUGGGCAUCAGCGGGUCCUGGCGGUAGCCGCACACUGCAUAUGCAGAGGACGGUGUUUCGUCUGUCCUCUGCUGGGUCACGGGAUGUCUGGAGGCAUUCAUAUCUACCUGAUGGAUUUCAUGUGUUGCUUUUCACUUAAUAGACAAUAUCUUUUCUUGCUGCAGUAAUUUUGCCAGAAAGGCAAUUCGUAAGAUAGAGUCAUGUCUAUAGUAUGAAUUGCGUUCUAUUCCCCUCCAUCUUCAGCAACUUCCUUGUCUGUUCGGUGUUUCAGAAGAGGAACCCAGUAACAGACGCCUUUUAAUGUGGGAAUGUGGUCUGGUCAUAAGGUCCCUUUCCUUAUAUAACUGACCCAGUCUGGUUUGCAGAUGCAACGUGUGCAAGACCCAGAUGACGGGGAACUGUGAAGCCAUAUUUCAACUGUGAGGAAAAUUUGCUUCCUGCGUCUGUUGAGACAUAAUUACAGUUGCUGAUAAAUGCCAUACCUUAUCUUUCUUUUAACAAAUUGCACAGUUCUUGCCAAAAUAAAUGUCAUUAUCUGUAUGCUUCAGGAAAUUCCCUAAAUUGGUGUGUGUGAGUGAGUGUGAGAGAAAGAAAGGUAGUGUGUGUUUUGGGAAGGGUAGUGUUGGAUAUAUUCAUUCCUUCUUUGGUGAUAAUUAGGCUAUUCUAGAAAGCACAGUGUCAUUCUUGAAAUAAAAGAUUUCCUGUUUAAACACAUGUCAAAAGAGCAUUGCACCUUGAAGAUUCUCACUGGGGUUGAUGUGUCUAAUAUCACUUCAUGAAACCUUUCUCUUGAGACAGAAAUGUGCUAAAUAAGGACAAAGUUUUUUGUUUCAUUUAGAGAAGAAUAAAGGGAAGAAAAAUGAAAACUCAAUCUUUAUGUCAGCUCCAAGGUGUCAGGGCAUAGAGGGCUUUCCUAGUUUUAUGAGAAUUUGUACUACUGAUUUUUAUAGAUUCUUGUUUUUGAGAUGAGUAGAUCUUGGGAAAUUGUUGCAUUACAAUGGCAUUUCACUGUGAUUCCUCUCAAGCUCAAAUCAGUUCUCUAACCUAAUGACAACUUGCCUCUGGUUUACUCUCCUGUGAAAUGUCAGCUCCAUUUUCCCAGAAGUUGUGUGUUUACGAUGAGUCAGUGCUUUUCCUCAGUGUGAAAGUUAUCAGCCCUCUUGAUUUUGGUGUAUGUGCUUAAUUCAAAGUAUCUAAACCUGUAGUCUAAUCUGUACAUGCUCUGUUAAUUGUGUUAUUGAUGAUUUUAUCUGGCUUGAAGAUCGAUUCAAACUUUUUAAUCUGAUAGAAAUAAAGUUUUUUCUGC
ensembl:lncRNA